rnacentral:rRNA from 1 species
GUUAGUUUGAGCUAUUUUAAGUUUUAUUGGUUCUACCUUUUGUAUCAUGAUUUGGGGAGUAUAAUAGGAGAUCCUUUAGUUAGAAAAGCGAAGAUUUAGUUUUUUUAGCGGGCUUUGUGAAACAGCCUCGAAAAAAGAAAUUGGCAGUGAUAAAUUAGUCGUUUUGCUUGAUAACUAGUGCUAGACUUUAUAUAAUAAAAACGUAGUUGGCGUGGAUGUCAGUUAUGUAAUCAAAAGAAAUGUUGUUAUUAAUUUACUGGGGUUUAAAGGUAUCCGGGGUAGAAAAGUGUUAUAACUUAGAUGACGAUUUUAAUCUUUUUGUAGUAGUCUAGAUUACAAACCAGACGGUUUUAAGUAUCCUAGAAUAAGUAGUAAAUUACCGGCAUAAAGUUUUGUGUAAAUUCGUACUGUUUAUUAAAAACAUUUCUGCAACUAUUAUUUUGCAGUAUAACCUGCUCAGUGUGAUUCAACAGCCGCAGUAUUUUGACUGUGCUAAGGUAGCAUAAUUACUUGUCCUCUAAAUAGGGAAUUGUUUGAAAGGUUGGUUUGGGUUUUAUUCGAUUUUGUCAGUAUUAAUGAAUUUGGGAUGUGAGUAAAGACUCUCACGAUGCAAUAAAAGACGGAAAGACCCCGAGAGCUUAAUUUUAAAUUUACUUGGGGCGAGGGUGUUAAUUCAGAUGCAUUAUGAACCUAUUAGUUAGUUUAGUGGAUAAGUUACCUCGGGGAUAACAGGGUAAGAAGUGAGGAGAGAUCAUAUUGAUUCACUUAGGUGCCACCUCGAUGUUGACUUGGAGUAACCCCGGAGAGCAGCAUUUCCGUGGGUAGGCCUGUUCGGCCUUUAAAUCUUUUCAUGAGUUGAGUUGAGACCGGUGUAAGCCAGGUCGGUUCCUAUCUAUAGGGCAAUCUUCCUAGUACGAAAGGAUUGGAAGAUUUUUAUUUUA